rnacentral:rRNA from 1 species
GAUGAACGCUGGCGGCGUGCCUAAUACAUGCAAGUCGAGCGAACGGACGAGAAGCUUGCUUCUCUGAUGUUAGCGGCGGACGGGUGAGUAACACGUGGAUAACCUACCUAUAAGACUGGGAUAACUUCGGGAAACCGGAGCUAAUACCGGAUGAUAUUUUGAACCGCAUGGUUCAAAAGUGAAAGACGGUCUUGCUGUCUCUUAUAGAUGGAUCCGCGCUGCAUUAGCUAGUUGGUAAGGUAACGGCUUACCAAGGCAACGAUGCAUAGCCGACCUGAGAGGGUGAUCGGCAACACUGGAAAUGAGACACGGUCCAGACUCCUACGGGAGGCAGCAGUAGGGAAUCUUCCGCAAUGGGCGAAAGCAUGACGGAGCAACGCCGCGUGAGUGAUGAAGGUCUUCGGAUCGUAAAACUCUGUUAUUAGGGAAGAACAUAUGUGUAAGUAACUGUGCACAUCUUGACGGUACCUAAUCAGAAAGCCACGGCUAACUACGUG